AUCGCUCCUCGGCCUUUUGGCUAAGAUCAAAGUGUAGUAUCUGUUCGUAUCAGCUUAAUAUCUGAUACGAUCCCCUUGUGGAUCUACGAUAUUAAACUGAUUUUGGGGUCUUGGCGAAAUGAGAGGUCCUUGCUCCACCUUUGCCGCAAAUGGGUCCGGUCUUGCAGUACGUCCAGCAUCGGUCUACUCCCA